AGUCUGGUGCCAGCAGCCGCGGUAAUUCCAGCUCCAAUAGUGUAUACUAAAGUUGCUGCAGUUAAAAAGCUCGUAGUUGGAUUUCGGUUAAUGAAAAGUUAGUCCACUUAAUAUAUAAGUGCGUACUGACAUUUUAUUUCCUUCUUUUCAGAUAUACAACUUGUUGUGUUCUGAAUCUUUUACUUUGAGAAAAUUAGAGUGUUCAAAGCAGGCGUAACCAAGCCUUUGAAUAUAUUAGCAUGGGAUAAUGGAAUAAGACUUUUUGCCUUAUUUUCGUUGGUUCUUGAGGCUAAAGUAAUGAUUAAUAGGGAUAGUUGGGGUCAUUAGUAUUUAAUUGUCAGAGGUGAAAUUCUAAGAUUUAUUAAAGACUAACUACUGCGAAAGCAUUUGACAAGGAUGUUUUCAUUAAUCAAGAACGAAAGUUGGGGGAUCGAAGAUGAUCAGAUACCGUCGUAGUCUCAACCAUAAACUAUGCCGACCAAGGAUUCGGGGGUGUUAUAUGAAUGACCCUCCGGGCACUUAUAGAGAAAUCAUAAGUAUUUGGGUUCCGGGGGGAGUAUGGUCGCAAGGCUGAAACUUAAAGGAAUUGACGGAGGGGCACCACCAGGAGUGGAAUAUGCGGUUUAAUUUGACCCAACACGGGAAAACUUACCAGGUCCAGACACAGUGAGGAUUGACAGAUUGAGAGCUCUUUCUUGAUUUUUGUGGGUGGUGGUGCAUGGCCGUUUCUAGUUGGUGGAGUGAUUUGUCUGGUUAAUUCCGUUAACGAACGAGACCUUAACCUAUUAAAUAGUUACACAUACUUGGGAUUCGUCCUAAUAGUAUGUGGUUAACUUCUUAGAGGGACUCUUCACGUAAAGAGUGAAUGGAAGUUUGAGGCAAAAACAGGUCUGUGAUGCCCUUAGAUGUUCUGGGCUACACGCGUGUUACACUGAUAUAUUCAACAAGCAUUAUAAUUCCUUACCCGAUGGGGUUGGGUAAUCUUUUAAAUGUAUAUCGUGAUGGGGAUAGACCAUUGUAAUUAUUGGUCUUGAACGAGGAAUUCCUAGUAAGUGCAAGUCAUUAGCUUGCGCUGAUUACGUCCCUGCCCUUUGUACACACCGCCCGUCGCUCCUACCGAUGAAUGGUCCGGUGAGGACUCAGGAUGACCGUGGAUUUUGGUAUAAUAUACCAUGCCAUUGUUUGUCAGAAUCUGUUCAAACCUUAUCAU
rnacentral:rRNA from 1 species